UAUCCCAUGAUGCAGUGCGGCACUUGCAUAUAAAGCGGACCCGGAAGUCUCGUUUCCCUCAGAGUGUGAAUGCUGCUGAAUGCGUGUGUGUGUGUUUCUAUGUUCGUGCGUUAGUUUGAAUGGCGGGUGAAUGUUAGUGUGUGUGUGUUUAAAAACCUACACGUUGAUCUUAUUUGAUCCGGUCUGAGUUCGGCUCUGCUCGGACCGGAGGUGAUAUGAAAACUCGUCCGCUAGCCCGUUUUUCGGGCGGUGAGCAGCCGGAGACGACAAACCUUCUCAGGGCCUCCACGCUUCGUGCUGUGGUCAGAGGUGAUGAAUUGAUCAGAUAUACUAGUUCUCUCGUGUGUUUGAGUUCAUCUCAAUAAUCACGGAGGACCGUGAGUAAAGAGGCGAUUCUGAUCUAA
ensembl:scaRNA